AUGAGGAUCAGGAAGGACUCAGGGCUGAGGCUGUGGAGGAUGGAAGAUCCAUAUGCAUCAAGGAGAAGAACUGUUGUUGACUACAGGUUCCAUACAAAGGAACGACAGGACUUCUAUGAGACAAUUCUGUUGGAUAAGAAGCCCAUAGUUUAUGAUAUGAGGUGGGUCGACUGGACCUACAUUAAGGACAAUGAAGAUCACUAUCCUGGAGUGCAAGACAGCUUUGUUGCUUGUGGAGUUGCUGAUUUUGUUGGGAAAAAGCUCACCCACUGGAAUGAUGAACUUAUCAUGCGAUUCUACUCCACAGCACACUUUUAUCCAGAUGGAAAAAUUGUUUGGAUGUUAGAAGGCACCAGAUACCAGUCAACUGUUGAAGAAUGGGCAAGUCUGAUAAAUGCCCCUAAGGAAAAUGAGGAUGACCUGGACGUUUAUGCAAAGAAGAAAAUGGAUCACAAUUCCAUGGCACACAUGUACAAGGAGAUCCCAGACAAGGCUGUUGAGACACACAAGUUUGGAUCAGUCCACUUUCUGUUGUCAGGGCUGCCAACUAUCAAUUGCAUCCUAAGGCACACUCUGUUGCCCAAGUCUGGUGACCAUAACAUGAUCAGAGGGCAUGCCAUCAACAUGUUGCAUGUGUUUGAUGUGCCACAAAAGUUCAAAGUCAUGAGCCUUAUGAUUAAAACCAUUAAGAGGACUGCAGCAGAUCAGAAGAGGAGCUGUGGAUAUGCCCCUCAGAUUCAGGAGUUGAUAAACUCAAAGAUGGGCACAGGGAAAUAUCAGUUGGAUAAGGAACAUUUUCCACUUUAUCCAGACUUUGAGGACAAUGAGGUUGUCAUGAAUGAGAAUGACCCAUCAUCAGUUCAAGCUCAAGAGAAGAAAGAGAAGGCAAAGAAGAAGGCUGCCAGGAUGCCAACUCAAGAGAAGGCAUCUGAAUAUUUCUUGAAGAACAAGCAGGAGCAGCUUGGUUACUUGAUAGCAUCUACACUGAGGAUUGAGAAGGGACUGGCCACCCUCACUCAGAAUCAGGAGAGCCAAAUGUAG
rnacentral:rRNA from 1 species